rnacentral:rRNA from 1 species
UAAUGUGAAUUGCAGGACACAUUGAUCAUCGACACUUCGAACGCACCUUGCGGCCCCGGGUUCCUCCCUGGGCUUCGCCUGUCUGAGUGUCGCCUU